GUCUUAUUGAAAAUAAUUUUAAGUCUAAUCUGCUCAAUGAAUAAAUUUUAAAUAGCUGCAGUAUAAAUAACUGUACAAAGGUAGCAUAAUAAUUUGUUUUUUAAUUAAAAACUAGAAUAAAUGAUUUAAUGAAAUAUAAACUGUAUCAAAUUUAAAAAAUAAAUUUAUUAUUUAAAUAAAAAAAUUUAAAUAACUUUUAUAGACAAGAAGACCCUAUAGAAUUUAAAUAAUAAUUUAUAAUAUUAAUUUUAUAAUUUUAUUAUAUUAAUUGGGGAAAUUUUAAAAUUUUCAAAAUUUUUAAUUAAAUAAACAUAAAUUUUUGAAUAUAUAAUAUUUUUUAAAAAAAUAAAUUAAAUUACCUUAGGGAUAACAGCAUAAUUUUUUUAAAAAGUUCAAAUUUAUAAAAAAGUUUAU
rnacentral:rRNA from 1 species